UACGUAGGGUGCGAGCGUUAAUCGGAAUUACUGGGCGUAAAGCGUGCGCAGGCGGUUUUGUAAGCCAGAUGUGAAAUCCCCGGGCUUAACCUGGGAAUGGCAUUUGGGACUGCAAGGCUCGAGUGCGGCAGAGGAGACUGGAAUUCCAGGUGUAGCGGUGAAAUGCGUAGAUAUCUGGAGGAACACCGGUGGCGAAGGCGGCAUCCUGGACCGGUAUUGACGCUGAGGCGCGAAAGCUAGGGGAGCAAACGGG
rnacentral:rRNA from 1 species